rnacentral:tRNA from 1 species
CUAAAGAUUUAUGGGAUCGAGGCCCGUCGGUCUAG